GCCAGCCCGCUCAGAAACUCAAGGAAUUGACGGGGCCCGCACAAGCGGAGGAACAUGUGGUUUAAUUCGAUGAUACGCGAGGAACCUUACCUGGGCUCAAAUGUAUGUUGACGUAUUCUGAAAGGGAUACUUCUUCGGACAAUAUACAAGGUGCUGCAUGGUUGUCGUCAGCUCGUGCCGUGAGGUGUCGGGUUAAGUCCCAUAACGAGCGCAACCCCUAUCAUUAGUUGCCAUCAGGUCAAGCUGGGGACUCUAAUGAAACUGCCUACGCAAGUAGUGAGGAAGGUGGGGAUGACGUCAAAUCAGCACGGCCCUUACGUCCAGGGCUACACACGUGCUACAAUGGCCGGUACAAAGGGCAGCUACCUGGUGACAGGAUGCUAAUCUCAAAAGCCGGUCUCAGUUCGGAUCGGAGUCUGCAACUCGACUCCGUGAAGCUGGAUUCGCUAGUAAUCGCGCAUCAGCCACGGCGCGGUGAAUACGUUCCCGGGCCUU
rnacentral:rRNA from 1 species